rnacentral:tRNA from 1 species
GGAGGUGUGUGGGCGCCUGGUGGCCCUCCUGAUCUUCAAAAUCAGUGUGGCCGGGUAUCUCGGCCAGGCGGGUUCGAUUCCCGUCCGCCUCCG